rnacentral:rRNA from 1 species
CCUACGGGUGGCAGCAGUGGGGAAUACUGCACAAUGGGCGCAAGCCUGAUGCAGCCAUGCCGCGUGUGUGAAGAAGGCCUUCGGGUUGUAAAGCACUUUCAGCGGGGAGGAAGGCGGUGAGGUUAAUAACCUCAUCGAUUGACGUUACCCGCAGAAGAAGCACCGGCUAACUCCGUGCCAGCAGCCGCGGUAAUACGGAGGGUGCAAGCGUUAAUCGGAAUUACUGGGCGUAAAGCGCACGCAGGCGGUCUGUCAAGUCGGAUGUGAAAUCCCCGGGCUCAACCUGGGAACUGCAUUCGAAACUGGCAGGCUAGAGUCUUGUAGAGGGGGGUAGAAUUCCAGGUGUAGCGGUGAAAUGCGUAGAGAUCUGGAGGAAUACCGGUGGCGAAGGCGGCCCCCUGGACAAAGACUGACGCUCAGGUGCGAAAGCGCGGGGAGCAAACAGGAUUAGAUACCCCUGUAGUC